UGUCCUACGGGGGGCUGCAGUGGGGAAUUUUGGACAAUGGGGGCAACCCUGAUCCAGCCAUGCCGCGUGAGUGAAGAAGGCCUUCGGGUUGUAAAGCUCUUUCGGCCGGGAAGAAAUCGUGUGGGCUAAUAUCCUGCAUGGAUGACGGUACCGGACUAAGAAGCACCGGCUAACUACGUGCCAGCAGCCGCGGUAAUACGUAGGGUGCGAGCGUUAAUCGGAAUUACUGGGCGUAAAGCGUGCGCAGGCGGUUUUUUAAGACAGGCGUGAAAUCCCCGGGCUUAACCUGGGAACGGCGCUUGUGACUGGAAGGCUAGAGUACGGCAGAGGGGGGUGGAAUUCCACGUGUAGCAGUGAAAUGCGUAGAGAUGUGGAGGAACACCGAUGGCGAAGGCAGCCCCCUGGGCCGAUACUGACGCUCAUGCACGAAAGCGUGGGGAGCAAACAGGAUUAGAUACCCUUGUAGUCUA
rnacentral:rRNA from 1 species